AUUGAACGCUGGCGGCAUGCCUUACACAUGCAAGUCGAACGGCAGCACGGGGGCAACCCUGGUGGCGAGUGGCGCACGGGUGAGUAAUGCAUCGGAACGUGUCCUCUUGUGGGGGAUAACCAGUCGAAAGAUUGGCUAAUACCGCAUGAGCUCGAGAGAGGAAAGCGGGGGACCGCAAGGACUCGCGCGAGAGGAGCGGUCGAUGUCCGAUUAGCUAGUUGGCGGGGUAACGGCCCACCAAGGCGACGAUCGGUAGCUGGUCUGAGAGGACGACCAGCCACACUGGGACUGAGACACGGCCCAGACUCCUACGGGAGGCAGCAGUGGGGAAUUUUGGACAAUGGGCGCAAGCCUGAUCCAGCCAUGCCGCGUGUGUGAAGAAGGCCUUCGGGUUGUAAAGCACUUUCGGGCGGAACGAAAUCGCGCGGAUGAACAAUUCGCGUGGAUGACGGUACCGCAAGAAGAAGCACCGGCUAACUACGUGCCAGCCGCCGCGGUAA
rnacentral:rRNA from 1 species